CGGCUCAGUAACACGUGGAUAACCUACCCUUGAGACGGGGAUAAACCCGGGAAACUGGGUAUAAUACCCGAUAGAUCUCGACUGCUGGAAUGCAUCGAGCUUGAAAGCUCCGGCGCUCAAGGAUGGGUCUGCGGCCUAUCAGGUAGUAGUGGGUGUAGCGUACCUACUAGCCUACGACGGGUACGGGUUGUGAGAGCAAGAGCCCGGAGAUGGAUUCUGAGACACGAAUCCAGGCCCUACGGGGUGCAGCAGGCGCGAAAACUUUACAAUGCUGGAAACAGCGAUAAGGGGACCUCGAGUGCCAGGUUACAAAUCUGGCUGUCGUGAUGCCUAAAAAGCAUUGCAUAGCAAGGGCCGGGCAAGACCGGUGCCAGCCGCCGCGGUAACACCGGCGGCUCGAGUGGUAACCGUUAUUAUUGGGUCUAAAGGGUCUGUAGCCGGCCGGAUAAGUCUCUUGGGAAAUCUGGCAGCUUAACUGUCAGGCUUUCAGGAGAUACUGUCUGGCUCGAGGCCGGGAGAGGUGAGAGGUACUUCGGGGGUAGGGGUGAAAUCUUGUAAUCCUUGAAGGACCACCAGUGGCGAAGGCGUCUCACCAGAACGGACCUGACGGCAAGGGACGAAAGCUAGGGGCAC
rnacentral:rRNA from 1 species